CUCGACACUUAUGAGAGGUCCAGCCUGCCCAGUGACCAAGUUCAACGGCCGCGGUAUCCUAACCGUGCGAAGGUAGCGUAAUCACUUGUUCUUUAAAUGAGGACUAGUAUGAAUGGCACCACGAGGGCUAUACUGUCUCCUUUUUUUAAUCAAUGAAACUGAUCUCCCCGUGAAGAAGCGGGCAUAAACCUAUAAGACGAGAAGACCCUAUGGAGCUUCAAACAACGAUAGCACUGGCCCCCAUUUUUUAUCCUCGAGAGAUACCACCAUUAUACUGGCCAAGAUGCCUAUCAGUUUUAGGUUGGGGUGACCGCGGAGCAAAAACCAACCUCCACGUUGAACGGAACUACUCCUGAGCCAAAAGCUACAACUUUAAGCACCAACAAACUGACAUUAAUUGACCCAACAUGUUGAUCAACGAAC
rnacentral:rRNA from 1 species